GUGUGGCGGGCGAGGCGGGUGUUUUGUGACACCCAUGACGGCUAUGGCGACCUGUGUGACUGUGACCACCCCUUCGUCUUCCCCGCCCACCGCCAACUUACAGCCCCGCCAUAUUGGAGAGAAGACAUCCCCAUCAUCAUUAUGGCUGGUAACAGGACCCGAUAUUUUUACAGAUUGUUGGAGAGUGUGGGGAAGCAACCAGCUGUGAAAAGCCAGCUGGUGUUGGUGGUGACAGAUGGUGUGGUGGAGGACGUGUUACGCCUCUCUCACAUCUUACACCUCAACGUUGUCAUC